rnacentral:rRNA from 1 species
CCUACGGGUGGCAGCAGUGGGGAAUUUUGGACAAUGGGGGAAACCCUGAUCCAGCCAUGCCGCGUGAGUGAAGAAGGCCUUCGGGUUGUAAAGCUCUUUCGGCCGGAACGAAAUCGCGUCCUUUAAUACGGGGCGUGGAUGACGGUACCGGAAGAAGAAGCACCGGCUAACUACGUGCCAGCAGCCGCGGUAAUACGUAGGGUGCGAGCGUUAAUCGGAAUUACUGGGCGUAAAGCGUGCGCAGGCGGUUUUACAAGCCAGACGUGAAAGCCCCGGGCUCAACCUGGGAAUGGCGUUUGGGACUGUAAGGCUGGAGUGUGGCAGAGGGAGGUGGAAUUCCACGUGUAGCAGUGAAAUGCGUAGAGAUGUGGAGGAACACCGAUGGCGAAGGCAGCCUCCUGGGCCAGCACUGACGCUCAUGCACGAAAGCGUGGGGAGCAAACAGGAUUAGAUACCCGAGUAGUC